rnacentral:rRNA from 1 species
GAUGAACGCUGGCGGCGUGCCUAAUACAUGCAAGUCGAGCGAACAGACGAGGAGCUUGCUCCUCUUACGUUUGCGGCGCAAGGGUGAGUAACACGUGGAUAACCUCCCUAUAAGACUGGGAUAACUUAGGGAAACAGGAGUGAAUACCGGACAAUAUAUUUAACCGCAGCGUUCAGUAGAGAAGGACGGUUUUGCUGACACUUAUACAUUGAUCGCAGCCGCAUUAGCUAGUUGGUAAGGUAACGGCUUACCAAGGCAACGAUGGGUAGCAGACCUGGGAGGGUGAUGGGCCACACUGGAACGGGGACACGGCCCAGACUCCUACGGGAGGAAGAGGUGGGGAACUUCCCGCAAUGGGCGAAAGCCGGACGGAGCAACGCCGCUUGAGUGAUGAAGGUUUCCGGUUCGUAAAACCCGGUUAUUAGGGAAGAACGACUGCGUGCGAACAGUUGCACGGCUUGACGGUACCUAAUCAGAAAGCCACGGCUAACUACGUG